CGUCCCCGUGCCUGCCUGCGGUAGCCUGCAGCUCUUCAUACUGCCAGGGAGAGGAGCAGAGGUCAGGGCAGAAUCCAGCAUUGUAGAGUGAAGAAGCAUGAGAAGAUUUUCCUGGAAGAGUCAGCCCUUCUCUAUUCAAGACAAGACAUGAAGACAGAAGCACGGAAAGCCCCAUCUCCUUCACCUUGGUUUGGUACCAGGACUCGGCUUCAGCCCGGCUGCGGUUGGCGAUGUCCUCGUACUGUGCCUUCACCUCUGCAAUGAUGCUGUCCAGGUCCAGGUUGCGAUUGUUGUCCAUGGUCAGCACCACGGAGGUGUCGGAGAUCUGGGUCUGCAUCUGGGACAGCUCCUGCAAUGGGAACGGGGGUGGAGGUGAUGCGGUUGUCACUCAUCUGGAAGGAAUUUGAGAGGUAAUUACAAAAGGCAGAACUGGGAGCACCAGGAGCUGCAGCUACAGGUCUGGGGUAUGGGUGAUGGCAGAGGGUCCCCACCCUGCCCUGUUGAUGAAACAUUGGGUUUCCAGGUAGCUCCCGGGGGAGUGUCUCCCCUGUGCCCUGCAGCUCCAGGCAUGUGGAUGAAAUUGCUGCUCUAAUGCAGAUAGCUCACCCUGAUACGGACUUCUCCUCUGGCAGAGUGUAAAAAGCAGAGUGGUGCUCUGCUUUUUCCUCCUGAUCAGAUCACAGAGCUGUGCUGGGGCUGAGAGCCCCGUAAUGCAGCUCUGGAGCCUUUUCCACCCCUCUCCCUCCUUUCCUCCUCCAGGGAUAGGUGGGAGAUCCCUGAGGUGCAGCCUGGUAUCACGCUAACAUUGAGGUAAUACACUCCUUUGAGGGUAGAAAAAUGAAUUCUGGCUGCAUCAGGGCAGUAGCUACAACUCAGGUCCUUGUAGUGGGAAAUUUGAGCUGUUUCCCAACCAGAGAGAAAGAUGGCAGCUUCAACAACUUGCCCCCAACACCUGCCCAGCAUCCACCGUGAGAUGAUUCCACGGAUGCAUUUGCCAUGGGAGCCUUCGUUUCACGAUGGAUGUCUGUUCUCAGACAAGGUUGGAACCUUUUAGCAGUGGCUUAAUGUGAUUUCUUUGCAAAAAUAGACAUUUAUAAAAUAAGAGCAUGUCCUACUGACUCGUGUUGGUUCACUAACUAAUCUCAGUUUAAUUAUCAGUAAAGUCAAGGCUAUAAUUUACGUUAAUUGCUUAAAUUAAAGCCUUUGGGUUAAACUUGGGCUGCUAACCUAAAUUCAAACCCUGCUCGUUUUGGCUGUAAUUUACCGUAUCAUCCCAACCUAACGCAGUCCCAAUCAUCACCCUGAGCUUUCUCCACGCUGCACCCCAUGGUCGCUGCAUGGCAUGGCAGAGACCUCCAGGAGCGGAGAGGGAGCUGGGAUUCACCUCCCUGAAUCUCAUUUCCCCAAGGAAUGAAUUGGGAUGAGCUGCUCCUGAGCGUUCCCAUAGGUGUUGCCCCAUGCUGGGCGUUGCAGUCCUUUGAGCCUGUUCCCAGCAGUAUCUGGAGGCCAGUCAGCUGGAAGUAGUGCAGGACUUUGAAGUGUAGGUGUGACCAGCUUUCUCCAGAUAAUUGGUUUUUGUGUUAGUACAGAGACACCAGUGCAGCUCAGGGUUUUGGAGUAACUUUGCUUUUAUUUUUGCUGUUGUUGCAGAUUGAGGAGGUCUCCUUUCAGCCCGUGGCUUGUUGCAUCCCAAAAGAGCCUCUGACCUUGGUGCUCCAGAUUCUCGCAGUGGGGUCCUGGUCUCCCCCCAGUACCCCGAGAGAGGCUGGCGAAGGACGGAGGAAGGAGAGGGCGCAGCGCAGCUAUGUACAGCACUGAUUGUGGUCUUGGAAACGAUCCGCACGCUGCCUCCCGUGCUGGAGCUGACCCCUCGGCUGCUGCUGGAGCUGAAGUUGCUGCCUCCACCAUAGCUGUAGCUUCCACUCCCGCCCCCGAAUCCUCCACCGCCGCCACUGCUGCUCAUGGUGUAGCUGCCACCACCUCCCAUGCUGAGACCACUGCUCAUGCCGAGACCACUGCUCAUGCCGAGACCACUGCUCAUGCCGAGACCUCCACCCAUGCCGAGACCACUGCCCAUUCCAAGACCUCCUCCCAUGCCGCUGCCGUAGCCCAUCCCGCUGGAGCUGCUCACUACAGCUGUGAGAGAACAGGGAUGAGUGAGACCACCUCAGCGUCUUGCAGAUCCCCAGGGUGGGGGGACAAACCCCAGCAAACAAGGCUGGGAAAGGGGGAGAUACUUACAGACACUCACGGCUCCAACGCCCUCUCCGGCGAGCCUGGUGGAAAAGAGGAAAGGAGGAGGUAACACAGGCAAGAUGCAGUGGUACCUGGGAGGGUCUCACUGCAGGAGCAUUCAGUUGGGGAACUAUCCAAUGGGGGGACCAUCUGAAUGGGAGACUAUCCAACUGAGGGGCCAUCCAAUUGCAGGGCCUUCAAACUGGAAGACCAUCUAAUUAGGAGAACAUGCAAUUGGGGAAUCAUUCAUCUAGGAGACCACUCAGUUGGAGGACCAUCUAAAUGGGGAGUCGUCUAGUUUGGGGACGAUUUCUGUCUGGAGGCCUGUCUAAUUAGACUUUCCUGUCCUUCAAUAGGGUCCUUCCACUGCUGGGCUAUCUCUGCAUCACAUGUGGAAGUGGCAAUUCUCAUUUUUCUUAGUGCAACAAAUGCCAACAACUGAAGGAACCCAACUUUUCCUAGAAACCUCACAUUUCAAAACACCCAUCUCCUCCCUCUUUUUUUAUGUUCCUUUAUGCUCCAGAUCCUUGGGGUGAGCUGAGGCUUUGGGCCCAAAGAGAGAUGCAGCAUGCAGGGAAAAGUGAAAUUUGCUGAUAUGUCUGCAGGGAUUCUUCACUCACCUGCUCUCCUCGCCCUCCAGUAGCUUCCUGUAGGUUGCAAUCUCAAUGUCCAGGGCCAGCUUGACAUUCAUCAGCUCCUGGUACUCACGCAGCUGCCGGGCCAGGUCUGCCUUGGCUUUCUGCAGGGCAUCCUCCAGCUCGGCCAGUUUGGAUUUGGCAUCUUUCAGGGCCAUCUCCCCACGCUCCUCUGCCUCAGCGAUGGCUGCUUGGAGACUGGCACACUAAAACAGAGGGAAGCAGAUAGCUGUUUAAGUUGGGCUACCCAAAUCUGCAGUCCUGUGGUACUGUUGGUGCUACCGGGGGGCUCCAGCAUAGCACUGGGAUUUGUGGAGCUAUCAGACAGGUGUCAGAGGGUGGGUGACUGAAGAGCCACAGUCCUGUUCCACGUGAAAAUGAGCAGAAUCUGCAUCUCUUUGUUUUGCUGGCAUGAUGCAAUAGCUCACAGCUUGCUUCCCCAGCAAGAAAACAGCAAUCACAGCACAUCCUCACAUCAGGGGACAUUCUCCAGUAGGGAAAAGAGAUGGCCAUGCCUGCCAAUACAGGACAUGGGCUUCCAUCCCUGCCCAAAGCUAGGAGCAUCCCCCCUACCUGUUUCUUCACACUCUCAAUCUCGUUGCGCAGCCGCUGCACCAUCCGGUUGAUCUCUGAGAUCUCCAUCUUGGUGUUUCUGAGGUCAUCGCCGUGGCGCCCAGCUGAGACCUGCAGCUCUUCAUACUGGUCAUCAUCCUGGAGGUGUUCAAGAAACGUGGAGAUGUGGCACUCGGGUACAAGGUUAGGGGGCAUGUUUUCUAUCUUAUGGCUGCACUGUGAUUUCUAACAGGCAGCGAUGCUUCCUCCUUCACUGCCGUGCAGAACUGAGUGUAGAGCCAAGGGACGUCGUGCAGAGAACUGACUGCUCACCGCUUCGUACAGAGCCCUCAGGAAGUUGAUCUCAUCUGCCAGCCCAUCUGCUUUGGCCUGCAGUUCCACCUUGUUCAUGUGAUAUUUUGGGAAGCCCAAGAGUUCAGAUCAUGGCUCCAUGACAGUGCAUGAGCGUGUCCUGUGCUAAAUGCCAAACCUGUGUGCAAGAAACCCAACGUGAAUAGAGAGCGCAAUCUCUUACUUGUUCUUGAAGUCCUCCACCAUGUCUUGCAUGCUCCGCAGCUCCGAGUCCAGCCGUCCCCUCUCCCCCAUCAGGCUGUCCAGCUGCCGCCUCAGGUUGUUGAUGUAGGACUCGAAGAGGGGCUCCAGGGACUUCCUGGUGACCGUGUGGCCCUGCUCUUGCAGGAGGCUCCAUUUGGUCUCCAGCACUUUGUUCUGCUGCUCCAGGAAACGCACCUAGGGAAACAAAAAAUGACUGUAACCCACCAGAAAGAGAAGAGGGAGAGCAUGGAAUGAGGAUCUUCCCACAGGAAUUCAGGGCACUGAAUUCUCCAAAGAAGCAUAAACAGCUUAGGGAGAAUUUUCAAGAGUUAUCAAGCUGCCAAGCAUCCGCGUUUGCAAUUCUACGUGUUUCUCUCUGCGCUGGAUGCUCAGCCCUCCUUAAUGGUUUAAACUGGUGGUAUCUUGUGGAGGAACUUUGCCCCUUCACAAUCCAUGGAGGAUCCACGCAGUGCCUGGGCAGUUUUUUAGGCAAAGGGGGAUUUGCUAUGUCAGCAAAACGAGGCUCUGGAGAUCUUGUCCUUGCAAAGAGCAUAGGACAAUUCUUAACAUUCAGCCAAGCACGGAUUAGUUCAGGCAAGCCCUGAAUCCAAAGAAAGAGCUUCCUGCUGUUCUUUCCUGAGGCAAAAGGGAAUGUGCCCAGGCUGAGACACAGCUCUCACCUUGUCGAUGAAGGAGGCGAAUUUGUUGUUGAGGGUCUUGAUCUGCUCCCGCUCAUGUGUCCGCACCUUCUGGAUCUCAGGGUCAAUGUCCAGCUUGAGGGGUGCCAGCAGGCUCUGGUUGACAGUCACUUCGUGGAUGCCACCGGGUGGGCAAACGGGGAACCCGGGGCCGCCACGACCACCAAAUCCAGUACCUCCCAUCCCAAAUCCUCCCAGCCCAUAGCCACCACCACCACCAGCUCCUCCUAAGCCCAAAGCAGCGCCUGCUCCUCCACCAUAGCCCAGACCAAAGCCAGAUCCUCCACCAAAGCCGUAUCCAGCUCCACUCCGCAGCCCUCCGCCAAGGGAGAUUCUCUUGCUUCCACCCAGGUUAUAGAGACUUCUGCUGCCAAAGCCGCCACCGGCUCCGAAGCCUCCUCCGCCUCCAGCUCUUCCUCCUCCAACUCUGGAGACAGAGACGGAGCUGAAGCUGCUCCGCGUACCACUGCCACCUCCCACGAUAGCAGAACCUGAGCUAAAGCCCCUCAUGCCC